UACGUAGGGCGCAAGCGUUGUCCGGAAUUAUUGGGCGUAAAGAGCUCGUAGGCGGUCUGUCGCGUCGGCUGUGAAAACCCGAGGCUCAACCUCGGGCCUGCAGUCGAUACGGGCAGACUAGAGUGCUGUAGGGGAGACUGGAAUUCCUGGUGUAGCGGUGAAAUGCGCAGAUAUCAGGAGGAACACCGGUGGCGAAGGCAGGUCUCUGGGCCACUACUGACGCUGAGGAGCGAAAGCGUGGGUAGCGAACAGG
rnacentral:rRNA from 1 species